rnacentral:rRNA from 1 species
CCUCAAAUCAGAUGGGACUACCCGCUGAACUUAAGCAUAUCAAUAAGCGGAGGAAAAGAAACUAACAAGGAUUCCCCUAGUAACUGCGAGUGAAGCGGGAAAAGCUCAAAUUUGAAAUCUGGCUGCUUUGCAGUCCGAGUUGUAAUUUCGAGAAGUGUUACCCGUGCUGGACCGUGCAUAAGUCUUCUGGAAAGGAGCAUCAUAGAGGGUGAAAAUCCCGUCUUUGGUACGGACUCCCAGUGCAUUGUGGUAUGCUCUCAACGAGUCGAGUUGUUUGGGAAUGCAGCUCAAAAUGGGUGGUAAAUUCCAUCUAAAGCUAAAUAUUGGUGUGAGACCGAUAGCGAACAAGUACCGUGAGGGAAAGAUGAAAAGAACUUUGGAAAGAGAGUUAAACAGUACGUGAAAUUGUCAAUAGGGAAACGCUUGAAGUCAGUCGCGUUGCUUCUGGGAUCAGCCUUCCUUUUGGUUGGUGUACUCCUGAGUGACGGGUCAGCAUCAGUUUUGACUGCUGGAAAAAGGCUUAGGGAAUGUGGCUCUUUCGGGAGUGUUAUAGCCCUUUGUCAUAUACAGUGGUUGGGACUGAGGAACUCAGCACGCCGCAAGGCAGGUCUUCGGACACUUUCGUGCUUAGGAUGCUGGCAUAAU